rnacentral:rRNA from 1 species
UACGUAGGGUCCAAGCGUUAAUCGGAAUUACUGGGCGUAAAGCGUGCGCAGGCGGUUCGUUAAGUCAGCUGUGAAAGCCCCGGGCUCAACCUGGGAAUUGCGGUUGAAACUGGCGAACUAGAAUCUGGCAGAGGGGGGUGGAAUUCCACGUGUAGCAGUGAAAUGCGUAGAGAUGUGGAGGAACACCGAUGGCGAAGGCAGCCCCCUGGGUCAAGAUUGACGCUCAUGCACGAAAGCGUGGGGAGCAAACAGG